CCUUCGAUAGCUCAGUUGGUAGAGCGGAGUACUGUAGAUCCUUAGGUCGCUGGUUCAACUCCGGCUCGAAGGA
rnacentral:tRNA from 1 species